AUGGCCGCCCUCAGACCCCUUGUGAAGCCCAAGAUCGUCAAGAAAAGAACCAAGAAGUUCAUCCGGCACCAGUCAGACCGAUAUGUCAAAAUUAAAAUGAGAAUAAAGUCUAGGGGGAAGGUGAAGCACCCAGCCCAAGACUCAGCAGCCAGGAAGUGGCCCGGCGCUCGUUCCACCACAGGUACAGGAAUUCUCACAGAAAAGUGGAGGCCAACGUGUGAGAAUUCCUCAAUGACUGCCCUUUAAAGGAAGAGGGCCAGGCUUCCUGUCAGAGACUGGGGACCCAGGGAGAAACAUGUCCCGGCCCCUGUCCCCCUCCACAAUUCAGAGGCCCACAUUCUAACCGGGGAGGCUGGCCAAUUAAACAGAUCAUGACAUCUAGAGCUAAGAGCUCUCUGACUACGAACCAGAUGCUUGGAGAACACAGAUGAAUGGUCUGAGCAUGAGCAGGGGCGGGAGGCAGCGUUAAGUGAGGCAUCAGAGUCAGAACAUGGCAAAUAAGUGUUUGUGGAGAGGAAUUCGUAGAAAAGGGCAAUGUGGGCAUCACAUGGGCCAAGGAACAGAGGGGUAGCAGUAGCUGUUGUGCCAAGCGGCAGGUCUUAUACGCUACCCUCUAGAUCUGGGUUUCCUUAAAGCAACUUGAGAGGACAACCCUGCAAAGCCUGGCAUGGUGGCCGAGAGGGAAAGGAGCAUUCGAGGUCUCAGUCCUUGCCCUGAGCCUACUUCUCUGCUUCUGGGCUCCAGCCAUCUUUGUGGAAAGGGGCCUGCUACUGACACCCUCUCAAGGGUCUUUCUAGCUCUAGGUCGGCUGUGCUGGGGUCUAGGAUUUGCCCACUGAGAAAUCUGUUUCUGAGUUCCUUCAGCCUGAUGCAUCCUGCAAUGUCACGGCUCCUGGUCAGAGUGGUCAGAAGGCCCCUGAAUGCACUCAGUAGAGGGAAGCCUGGGAACAGGGAGGCACCUGCAGCUCUACUCAGGUCCUGGCCGGAACUCAGCAGCUCUUCUCUGCCAUCUAGUGGGGAUGGCAGUCCGUCACUGGGGACCACCCUGUGCAAACUGGUGAGCCUCAGUGCCUGUCCCAGAGGAAAGAAAGGCAGGGGAUACCGGAUUUAGAUGAAAUAGCAACUCCUAGCCUAUUGUCAACAUCGUCUGGCUUUUUCAAAACAUAUCGUACUGAUUUUCUUUGUUUUUGACACAGAAUCUUGCUCUGUCACCAAGGCUGGAGUGCAGUGACAUGAUCUUGGCUCACUGUAGCCUCUGUCUCCCUGGUUCAAGCAAUUCUUCUGCCUCAGCCUCCCAAGUAGCUGGGACUACAGGCAUGCGCCACCACACCCAGCUAAUUUUUGUAUUUUUUUUAGUAGAGUCAGAGUUUUACCAUGUUGGCCAGGCUGGUCUUGAACUCCUGACCUCAACUGAUCUGCCUGCCUCGGCCUCCCAAAGAACUGGGAUUACAGGCAUGAGGCACUGUGCCUGUCCCAUGUUGUACUUAAUAGACAUUUACUAUAUACAGUUAUUUUUUAAUUUAAAUAAAAUCAAUGAAUAGUGUUAUUUUU